CACGUAGGCGGCUCUUUAAGUCAGGGGUGAAAUCCUGGAGCUCAACUCCAGAACUGCCUUUGAUACUGAGGAGCUUGAGUUCGGGAGAGGUGAGUGGAACUGCGAGUGUAGAGGUGAAAUUCGUAGAUAUUCGCAAGAACACCAGUGGCGAAGGCGGCUCACUGGCCCGAUACUGACGCUGAGGUGCGAAAGCGUGGGAGCAAACA
rnacentral:rRNA from 1 species